rnacentral:rRNA from 1 species
UAGGGAAUCUUCCGCAAUGGACGCACGUCUGACGGAGCAACGCCGCGUGAGUGAAGAAGGAUUUCGGUUCGUAAAACUCUGUUGUUAGAGAAGAACAGCGCAUAGAGUAACUGUUAUGCGUGUGACGGUAUCUAACCAGAAAGCCACGGCUAACUACGUGCCAGCAGCCGCGGUAAUACGUAGGUGGCAAGCGUUGUCCGGAUUUAUUGGGCGUAAAGCGAGCGCAGGCGGUCAAUUAAGUCUGAUGUGAAAGCCCCCGGCUCAACCGGGGAGGGUCAUUGGAAACUGGUUGACUUGAGUGCAGAAGAGGAGAGUGGAAUUCCAUGUGUAGCGGUGAAAUGCGUAGAUAUAUGGAGGAACACCAGUGGCGAAGGCGACUCUCUGGUCUGUAACUGACGCUGAGGCUCGAAAGCGUGGGUAGCAAACAGG